UACGGAGGAUGCGAGCGUUAUCCGGAUUUAUUGGGUUUAAAGGGUGCGCAGGCGGCGUGUCAAGUCAGCGGUAAAAUGUCGGGGCUCAACCCCGGCCGGCCGUUGAAACUGGCGUGCUCGAGUUGGAGAGAAGUAUGCGGAAUUCGUGGUGUAGCGGUGAAAUGCAUAGAUAUCACGAAGAACCCCGAUUGCGAAGGCAGCAUACCGGCUCCACACUGACGCUGAGGCACGAAAGCGUGGGGAGCAAAUAGG
rnacentral:rRNA from 1 species